rnacentral:rRNA from 1 species
AAUCGCCUGAUGACAACCCUCGGGAACUGAGGUCAAUCUCGGAUACUGCUUUCACGUUGGAACAACGGAAAGCUGGAAACGGUCCGCCGCCGGAGGACGUGACUGCGGCUGAUUAGGUAGACGGUGGGGUAACGGCCCACCGUGCCAAUAAUCAGUACGGGUUGUGAGAGCAAGAGCCCGGAGACGGAAUCUGAGACAAGAUUCCGGGCCCUACGGGGCGCAGCAGCCGCGAAACCUUUACACUGCACGACAGUGCGAUAAGGGGAUCCCGAGUGCGAGGGCAUACAGUCCUCGCUUUUCGUGACCGUAAGGUGGUCACAGAAUAAGGGCUGGGCAAGACCGGUGCCAUCCGCCGCG